UGGGCUGACUAGCCAUUUGUCCUUUCUUCCGCAGCAGCUAGCAGUAGUGCAGUGUUAGAUAGGACAGAGCUUUGUGUGCAUUUACUUUGAGAAAACAUCGAAAACUUAAUUUAAAGAAUGUUGACUCUCCUUUCAAAGAACAGUUUAGGCUCACUUAGUAAAUACUUGGUUAAUACUUCUGGGCGGGAUGGGACGAUGAGCAGCGCGUGCUAUGUCUCCUCCAUGUUUAGCACGUGGUAUGGAUGUGAGGUCAGUUUUCGAUAGGAACCUGGAAACCUGAAGAUAUGAGGUUUUAGCUCACUAAAGUGUAGUUUGGUUGAAAAAAUGAGCACGAACAGAUCUCGUGGAGGACCACGUGGGCACCCUGAGAAUUGGGGAUGCUGCAGAGCUUUUCCUGCAUGCAGAUAUCCUUCCCUCUGACAGGAGUAGAGUCUGCAGCUGUGAGAUGAGGUGUUGGAGCUGGAUCUGCCUGAUGAUGUCUCCUCUCUCUCAUACCUGCAGACAGAGGAGUUGCUGUGACGGAUCAUAGAUGUCCGACUGUGGCAGCCUGAGAGGAAGUGUGUUGGGACGGGCAUAAAGAGAUGCUGAAGGGUGAGUCAGGACUGCUUCAGAUGGUCCGUGCUACAUGAUGGAAGUCAAAUCAAAUUAAUGUCUGUGUUCAUUCAGUGUUGAUUAAAAUGUCUAAGUUAUUUAAUUUGUCUGCAAAAUGUCCUCAGUCUUGGCUUACAGGUGAUAUUGAAUCAAAUAAACGGUUACAAAACACA